CAGCUACUCCCUCCGUUCGGAAUUACUUGUCUCGGAAAUGGAUGUAUCUAGAACUAAAAUACGUCUAGAUACAUCCAUUUUCGCGACAACUAAAUCCGAACGGAGGGAGUGCUUA
rfam:Triticum aestivum genome assembly, contig: Triticum_aestivum_CS42_TGACv1_scaffold_501717_6BL